rnacentral:tRNA from 1 species
AAGGGUAUAGCUCAGUGGUAGAGCAUGUGUUUAGCAUGCACGAGGUCCUGGGUUCAAUCCCCAGUGCCUCCA